AUUGAACGCUGGCGGCAGGCCUAACACAUGCAAGUCGAGCGAGCAGCUGCAGGGUGUGGAAUGUAUGGGGAUCCGCCCGUUAGUGAGGGAUACCUACUGGAAACGUUAGCUAUUACCGCACACUAUCUCAUUGACCCAUACGGGAUUAGCUAGUUGGUGAGGUAAUGGCUCACCUAGUCGACGAUGCCUAGCGGGUCUGAGAGGAUGAUCAGCCACACUGGGACUGAGACACGGCCCAGACUCCUACGGGAGGCAGCAGUGGGGAAUAUUGCACAAUGGGCGAAAGCCUGAUGCAGCAAUGCCGCGUGUAUGAAGAAGGCCCUAGGGUUGUAAAGUACUUUCAGUCGGGAGGCGGUACCGACAGAAGAAGCAACGGCUAACUCCGUGCCAGCAGCCGCGGUAAUUC
rnacentral:rRNA from 1 species